GACGAACGCUGGCGGCGUGCUUAACACAUGCAAGUCGAACGGAAAGGCCCUGCUUUUGUGGGGUGCUCGAGUGGCGAACGGGUGAGUAACACGUGAGUAACCUGCCCUUGACUUUGGGAUAACUUCAGGAAACUGGGGCUAAUACCGGAUAGGAGCUCCUGCUGCAUGGUGGGGGUUGGAAAGUUUCGGCGGUUGGGGAUGGACUCGCGGCUUAUCAGCUUGUUGGUGGGGUAGUGGCUUACCAAGGCUUUGACGGGUAGCCGGCCUGAGAGGGUGACCGGCCACAGUGGGACAGAGAUACGGCCCAGAGUCCUACGGGAGGCAGCAGUGGGGAAUAUUGCACGAUGGGCGGAAGCCUGAUGCAGCAUCGCCGCGUGGGGGAUGACGGCCUUCGGGUUGUAAACCGCUUUCGCCUGUGACGAAGCGUGAGUGACGGUAAUGGGUAAAGAAGCACCGGUGAACUACGG
rnacentral:rRNA from 1 species